GGCUGCGGGAGCUGCCGGGGCCACCUCCAGGGCUCCAGGAGAACCUGCCCGGAGCGGCCUGAGCAGAAACCACCCGUGGCCCCGCGCGAGGCAGAAGUCCCUGCUAUAUGGGGAGCCUGAGAGAGACAGACAGACGUCCCAGCUGUAUGGGGAGCCCGAGAGAGAGACACGUCCUUGCCGGUGGGGGAACCCACGAGAGACAGAUGUCUCAGCUGUAUGAGGAGCCCCCAGUGAGACAGACGUCCCAGCUGUAUGAGGAGCCCGAGAGAGACAGACAGACGUCCCAGCUGUAUGGGGAGCCCGAGAGAGACAGACAGACGUCCCAGCUGUAUGAGGAGCCCGAGAGAGACAGACGUCCCAGCUGUAUGAGGAGCCCGAGAGAGACAGACGUCCCAGCUGUAUGAGGAGCCCGAGAGAGACAGACAGACGUCCCAGCUGUAUGAGGAGCCCGAAAGAGACAGACAGACGUCCCAGCUGUAUGAGGAGCCCGAGAGAGACAGACGUCCCAGCUGUAUGAGGAGCCCGAGAGAGACAGACGUCCCAGCUGUAUGAGGAGCCCGAGAGAGACAGACGUCCCAGCUGUAUGAGGAGCCCGAGAGAGACAGACAGACGUCCCAGCUGUAUGAGGAGCCCGAAAGAGACAGACAGACGUCCCAGCUGUAUGAGGAGCCCGAGAGAGACAGACGUCCCAGCUGUAUGGGGAGCCCGAGAGAGAUAGACAGACGUCCCAGCUGUAUGGGGAGCCCAAGAGAGAUAGACAGACGUCCCAGCUGUAUGGGGAGCCCAAGAGAGAUAGACAGACGUCCCAGCUGUAUGAGGAGCCCGAGACAGACAGAUGUCCCAGCUGUAUGAGGGGCCUGAGAGAGACAGACGUCCUUGCUGGUGGGGGAACCCGCGAGAGACAGAUGUCUCAGCCGCAUGGGGAGGUCCCAGUGAGACAGACAGACAUUCCCGCUGUAUGGGGAGCCCCCAGUGAGACAGACAGACAUUCCCGCUGUAUGGGGAGCCCCCAGUGAGACAGACAGACAUUCCCGCUGUAUGGGGAGCCCCCAGUGAGACAGACAGACGUCCUUGCUGUAUGGGGAGCCCCCAGUGAGACAGACAGACGUCCUUGCUGUAUGGGGAGCCCGCGAGAGACAGACAGAUGUCUCUGGCUCUUCGGGACCUUCCAGUCUAUGGGUGAGGGCAGUAAAGCAGGUAAAAGGCGCAGAUCACAGAUGGUAGCUGAUGGCGGGGCUGCGGCGAGAAUAAAGCAGCAGAGGGUGGGAGGCGCCGAAGGGGCUGCUAUUUUGGAGGGUGGUGGGGGAGGCCUCAGUGAGGUGCGGGUGAGCAGAGCCUGCAGAGACAGGAUGGCUGGGGGAAGAACAUUCCAGCAGGGGGAGGAGCAGACGGGGUGAGGCUUUCUCCCAACCCUCCCACGUUCCGGGAGGAGAAGGUUUUAUUAGCUUAUUAGGAAAGAUUCAUGCAUUUUGCAUGGUUGAACUGAAUAAAAAAGGAACUUCGUGCACAUUUGAAUUCGGAGGCAAGAUGAGAAGAAGUGGCAUUUUUUUUAAGUGACUUGCCUUGGGGAGAGCUGUUAAAACUGACAAAUUGCGUGACGCACAUCAUAAUACAAACAAAUGAAAAGAGUUGGCCCCAGCGGUUUUUAGACUUGCUUAUUGGAUUUUUGGAAAUAUGACCUGGUGCAGAGGGAAGAUGAAGGCAGGCAGCCCUACUGAGGCCAGAAUACGGUGGGCGGGGGAGCGGGCAACUGGCCGUGAUGUCAGCCUGAGCAUGUGCUGAGGACCAAUGAGAUGCCCAAGAGGGCAUGGAAAGGCAUCUGCCCCAUGGGUGAGCCCAGUUCGCCUCUGCAUGGACAUGCUGUGUGGCCCAGGGGAAGCCUCUGACCCUCUCUGAGCCUCAGUUGCCUCAUCUGUAGAGCAGGGACAACGACAUUCAUCUCGAGUCCUCGCAGGAAACCCACUGGGAUAUAAUCUCUGCUGCUCCCCAUCCUGCCUCAUGCCCCAGGAAGCUGACCUGUAUACACUGCAUCAAGAAGCUCUCUUGACCUUUGGCUUCCAGUUGACUUGGCUAAUGAACUUGCCAGACACCUGAACCUUCAACAGCCACCACCCUGACCAGUCAGCAGUCCUCACCACCCACCAGCAAGAGGAUCCCGACUUGCUGAAGGCUCAGAUGAUCAUUAGCAAUUUUUAGAACUAAAGCAUUUUUAAAUUAAGGAGACAGUGGCCCUGUUUGACCAGUGGACACCCCCACAGAAGACGUAAACAUAAGACCUGAAGCUGUAAAACUCCUAGAGGGAAACAGGGGAAAUGCUGUUUGACAUGGGUCUUGGCAAUGAUUUUUUGGAUAUGAAGCCAAAAGCACAGGCGAAAAAGCAAAAAUAGACAAGUGGGACUACACCAAACUCAAAAGCUUCUGCACAGCAAAGGAAACAACAAAAUGAAAAGGCAGCCUACGGAAUGGGAGGGAAUAUUUGCAAACCCUCUCUCUGAUAAGGGGUUAACAUCCAAGAUAUAUAAGGAACUGCUGUCACUCAAUAGCAGAAAACCAAAUCAGCCAAUUAAAAAGUGGGCAAUGGAUUUGAAUCGACAUUUAUCCAAAGAAGACAAAUAAUCAGCCGGUAUAUAAAAAGGCACCCGACAUCACUUAUCACCAGGACAUGCAAAUCAAAGCCACAGUGAGACCGACUUGCACCUGUUAGGAUGGCUGGCAUCAAAAAGACAAGAUGGCAAGUGUUGGCCGGGGUGUGGAGAAAGGGAGCCCUUGUACCCUGUUGGUGGGAAUGUAAAAUGGUGCAACCAGUAUAGGAAACAGCAUGGAGGUUCCUCGGAAAACUAAAGAUAGAUCUGCCAUCUGAUCCAGCAAUCCCUCUACUGGGUUACAGCCAAAGGAAAUGGCACCAGGAUCUUGAAGAUAGAGCUGUACUCCCAUGAUCGCUGUGGCUUUGUUGAGGAUAGCCAAGAUACGGAAACGCCCGAAGUGUCUGUGGUCAGAUGAAUGAAGAAAGAAAAUGUGGUAUAGACACAUGAUGGAAUAUUAACCUUUAAAAAGAAGGAAACCUGCCAUAUAUGACAACGUGAAUAAACCUGGAGGAUUUUAUGCCAAGUGCAAUAAAGCCAGACCCAGAAAGGCCAAU
rnacentral:lncRNA from 10 species